rnacentral:rRNA from 1 species
UUCGGGGGGCGAGUAGAGUGGCGCACGGGUGAGUAACACGUAGGUAAUCUACCUUUGGAUUGGGAAUAACCACCGGAAACGGUGGCUAAUACCGAAUAAUGCAGCGGCACCUAAUGGUGACAGUUGUUAAAGCGGGGGAUCGCAAGACCUCGCGUCUGAAGAGGAGCCUGCGGCAGAUUAGCUAGUUGGUAAGGUAACGGCUUACCAAGGCGAUGAUCUGUAGCCGGCCUGAGAGGGCGGUCGGCCACACUGACACUGACAUACGGGUCAGACUCCUACGGGAGGCAGCAGUCGGGAAUUUUGGGCAAUGGGCGCAAGCCUGACCCAGCAACGCCGCGUGAAGGAUGAAAUCCCUCGGGAUGUAAACUUCGCAAGAACGGGAAGAAUAAGUAAGAGCUAACAUCUCUUACGAUGACGGUACUGUUUGUAAGCUCCGGCUAACUCCGUGCCAGCAGCCGCGGUAAUACGGGGGGAGCAAGCGUUGUUCGGAUUUACUGGGCGUAAAGGGCGCGUAGGCGGCCACCGCAAGUCGACUGUGAAAUCUCCGGGCUUAACCCGGAAAGGUCAGCCGAUACUGCGGGGCUAGAGUGCAGAAGGGGCAACUGGAAUUCUCGGUGUAGCGGUGAAAUGCGUAGAUAUCGAGAGGAACACCUGCGGCGAAGGCGGGUUGCUGGGCUGACACUGACGCUGAUGUGCGAAAGCUAGGGGAGCGAACGGGAUUAGAUACCCCGGUAGUCCUAGCCUUAAACGAUGAAUGCUUGGUGUCUGGGGUUUUAUAGUCCCCGGGUGCCGUCGCUAACGCUUUAAGCAUUCCGCCUGGGGAGUACGGUCGCAAGACUGA